AGCUUGUUCAACGUAGCAGGUGCCCGAUAUUUCAUCGGGUUAAACGGGAACAAGGUUCAAAGCCUUGGCUGCCCCCGCAACGGUAAGCAGAUCAAUCCACUUCACGGCUUUUGCACCAGCAAGAGCCAGUCACUGGCGUUCUACGUGGCCUCUUCAAGAGGUGCGCGGCAGCGCUGGGAAGACGAAGUGGCAUGCCUCGCGCAAUCUGCCAGCCCGGAUACCGGCCUGUUAAGCGCUGACCGU
rnacentral:ncRNA from 2 species